rnacentral:rRNA from 1 species
UAAAAGUCGUAACAAGGUUUCCGUAGGUGAACCUGCGGAAGGAUCAUUAUUGAUUGGUCGAAAGACCUUAUCAGAUUCUACCACCUCUGUGAACUGUUGGACCUCCGGGUCUACAAUCAAACAUCAGUGUAACGAACGUAAGAGUAUCUUAACGAGACAAAACUUUCAACAACGGAUCUCUUGGCUCUCGCAUCGAUGAAGAACGCAGCGAAAUGCGAUAAGUAAUGUGAAUUGCAGAAUUCAGUGAAUCAUCGAAUCUUUGAACGCACCUUGCGCCUUUUGGUAUUCCGAAAGGCAUGCCUGUUUGAGUGUCAUGAAAUCUCAAUCCUCCUAGGUUUUUGACCUGGUUGGGCUUGGACAUGGGCGUCUGCCAGCAAUGGCUCGCCUUAAAUGACUUAGUGGAACAUCCCACAUCAGUGUUAGACGUAAUAAGUUUCGUCUCUCCUUGUGGUGAUGACUGCUCAUAAUCUGCCAUCGCGCACUUUUGACUUUGACCUCAAAUCAGGUAGGGCUACCCGCUGAACUUAAGCAUAUCAA